UAUUUUGACUAUACAAAGGUAUUGAAAUAAGACUUUAAUUGGGUGCUAAGAGAAUGAAUUAACAAAAAUUAACUUUAUUUAAUUUAAAAAUUAAAUUUAUUUUUAUUUGUGAAGAAACAAUAAUUUUAAUUAAGGACAAGAAGACCCUAUGAAUUUUUUUAAUUUUAUUAAUAAAAAAAUAUAAUACAAUUAUUUAAUUGGGGCGAUUAAUAAAUAUUAUCAACUUUAAGUUUCUAUAAAAUGAACCAUUAUUAAUGGACGAAUGAAAAAAUACUCUAGGGAUAACAGCGUAAUAAUUUUAAAUAGUUCAUAUAGACAAAAUAGUUUGCGACCUCGAUGUUGGAUUAGGAUUCUUUUUUAAUGAAGAAGUUAAAAAAAGAAGUUUGUUCAACUUUUAAAUUCCUACUUGAU
rnacentral:rRNA from 1 species